AAAUUGAAGAGUUUGAUCAUGGCUCAGAUUGAACGCUGGCGGCAGGCCUAACACAUGCAAGUCGAGCGGUAGCACAGAGAGCUUGCUCUCGGGUGACGAGCGGCGGACGGGUGAGUAAUGUCUGGGAAACUGCCUGAUGGAGGGGGAUAACUACUGGAAACGGUAGCUAAUACCGCAUAAUGUCGCAAGACCAAAGUGGGGGACCUUCGGGCCUCAUGCCAUCAGAUGUGCCCAGAUGGGAUUAGCUAGUAGGUGGGGUAACGGCUCACCUAGGCGACGAUCCCUAGCUGGUCUGAGAGGAUGACCAGCCACACUGGAACUGAGACACGGUCCAGACUCCUACGGGAGGCAGCAGUGGGGAAUAUUGCACAAUGGGCGCAAGCCUGAUGCAGCCAUGCCGCGUGUGUGAAGAAGGCCUUCGGGUUGUAAAGCACUUUCAGCGGGGAGGAAGGCGGUGAGGUUAAUAACCUCAUCGAUUGACGUUACCCGCAGAAGAAGCACCGGCUAACUCCGUGCCAGCAGCCGCGGUAAUACGGAGGGUGCAAGCGUUAAUCGGAAUUACUGGGCGUAAAGCGCACGCAGGCGGUCUGUCAAGUCGGAUGUGAAAUCCCCGGGCUCAACCUGGGAACUGCAUUCGAAACUGGCAGGCUAGAGUCUUGUAGAGGGGGGUAGAAUUCACGGUGUAGCGGUGAAAUGCGUAGAGAUCUGGAGGAAUACCGGUGGCGAAGGCGGCCCCCUGGACAAAGACUGACGCUCAGGUGCGAAAGCGUGGGGAGCAAACAGGAUUAGAUACCCUGGUAGUCCACGCCGUAAACGAUGUCGAUUUGGAGGUUGUGCCCUUGAGGCGUGGCUUCCGGAGCUAACGCGUUAAAUCGACCGCCUGGGGAGUACGGCCGCAAGGUUAAAACUCAAAUGAAUUGACGGGGGCCCGCACAAGCGGUGGAGCAUGUGGUUUAAUUCGAUGCAACGCGAAGAACCUUACCUGGUCUUGACAUCCACAGAACUUUCCAGAGAUGGAUUGGUGCCUUCGGGAACUGUGAGACAGGUGCUGCAUGGCUGUCGUCAGCUCGUGUUGUGAAAUGUUGGGUUAAGUCCCGCAACGAGCGCAACCCUUAUCCUUUGUUGCCAGCGGUUAGGCCGGGAACUCAAAGGAGACUGCCAGUGAUAAACUGGAGGAAGGUGGGGAUGACGUCAAGUCAUCAUGGCCCUUACGACCAGGGCUACACACGUGCUACAAUGGCAUAUACAAAGAGAAGCGACCUCGCGAGAGCAAGCGGACCUCAUAAAGUAUGUCGUAGUCCGGAUUGGAGUCUGCAACUCGACUCCAUGAAGUCGGAAUCGCUAGUAAUCGUAGAUCAGAAUGCUACGGUGAAUACGUUCCCGGGCCUUGUACACACCGCCCGUCACACCAUGGGAGUGGGUUGCAAAAGAAGUAGGUAGCUUAACCUUCGGGAGGGCGCUUACCACUUUGUGAUUCAUGACUGGGGUGAAGUCGUAACAAGGUAACCGUAGGGGAACCUGCGGUUGGAUCACCUCCUUA
rnacentral:rRNA from 1 species